rnacentral:lncRNA from 1 species
GAAAUAUCGAAUCGGUGGAUUCUACUGAGCUAGCCGUCCUUUCUUGAAAAUAGGUCUUUACCAGCAUAGAGAAGUGUUGCUAAAAAUAAGAAAUAAUGCUACUAAUACGUGAAGCGGCAGUUUUAUCAAAUAUGUAGUUAAUGUCGUCAAUAAUCGUAUCGUUAAUUCAUCAUUAUGAAUCAAUGAUACUUUCAUUAUGCCACUCAAAGACAAUUUAUAGCCGCAAUUUUUUUACUAUUUACCAAUAUUUUAGUAUUACUGUAAAUUCAAUCAGCCGCACAAAAAAUAUCUUAAAAAAAUGCUACUAAAUCAUAUAGCAGCAC